UACGGAGGGUGCAAGCGUUAUCCGGAUUCACUGGGUUUAAAGGGUGUGUAGGCGGGUAUUUAAGUCAGUGGUGAAAUCUCCGGGCUCAACCCGGAAACUGCCAUUGAUACUAUUUAUCUUGAAUCUUGUUGAGGUAGGCGGAAUAUAAUCAUGUAGCGGUGAAAUGCUUAGAUAUGAUAUAGAACACCGAUUGCGAAGGCAGCUUACUAAACAGGCAUUGACGCUGAGGCACGAAAGCGUGGGGGAUCAAACAGG
rnacentral:rRNA from 1 species